GGGGGGUGAAUUUCACUGACAGCAUGUCUAGUUGCCAGUCCCGAUUGUGGAGAGUUUCCACGCUGUAUGGCUCUAUGACUCUAAACACAGACACAGACUGAUUGGGCUGAAUGUUCCUUUUUAUCUAUUUCAAUGGAACAAUCUUGUCUGCUUCUUUAAGAGACAAUGAUGCACAGUUAAUUGUAGGCAUCUCAAUCUCCCAAAGAAGAAACAGAGCCUUCCUCUUUGAUGUUCCUCUGGUGUCCUUUUAUGGGCAUUAUGUACAGACUUCAGCAGCCUAAUCGAAUGAACUGUGAAUGUUGAAGACUCAGAAGUGACAUUGAAAAACUAGUCUUCUCGCCAUAUUAAAAUAAAGGAAGUGAUAUUUCUGGCUGUUCAGACAAAUCUUGUUAAGAGAGAGAGAGAGAGAGGGCACGAUCAACAUGUAAUACAAAGGAGUGGUCAUGCAGCCCCUGAUUGUAGAGAUACUGGUGCUCAGGGAAUCCAAGUUUCAAUAAAAGAGUAACUGCUGAAUUAACUUUUGUAACAAUGGACAAUCACCUGAUGAAGGGGCAGUGCUCCGAAAGCUAGUGCUUCCAAUUAAACCUGUUGGACUAUAA